rnacentral:lncRNA from 1 species
CCCUCCGGUUUCUUAAUCUCCCAGGGAACACAUGGGUCAACAUCGAGUUGGUGGAUGAUGCCCGUAUCGUAUCCCACGAGUAAAGGGAGUGAUUCAAAUGUAGGGUCGGCUGUUACGUGCAGGUGGAGCCACCGCCCGUUGACCAGGCGGCACCCCACCGUCUCGUUGGGCGCCAUCGUCUGAAAAUGCCAUAACAACAAACAUCGCGCAAUAAAAAUGAAUAUUUCGGCGAACCUGUG